CCUGACUGCUAUCGGAUUGAUACUAAGCCAUGCGAGUCAUUGUAGCAAUACAAGGCAGACGGCUCAGUAACGCGUAGUCAACCUACCCUAUGGACGGGAAUAACCUCGGGAAACUGAGUAUAAUGCCCGAUAGAACAUUAUACCUGGAAUGGUUUAUGUUCCAAAUGAUUUAUCGCCGUAGGAUGGGACUGCGGCCUAUCAGUUUGUUGGUGAGGUAAUGGCCCACCAAGACUAUUACAGGUACGGGCUCUGAGAGGAGUGGCCCGGAGAUGGGUACUGAGACACGGACCCAGGCCCUAUGGGGCGCAGCAGGCGAGAAAACUUUGCAAUGUGCGAAAGCACGACAAGGUUAAUCCGAGUGGUUUCUGCUAAAGGAACCUUUUGUUAGUCCUAGAAACACUAACGAAUAAGGGGUGGGCAAGUUCUGGUGUCAGCCGCCGCGGUAAAACCAGCACCUCAAGUGGUCAGGAUGAUUAUUGGGCCUAAAGCAUCCGUAGCCGGCUCUGUAAGUUUUCGGUUAAAUCUGUACGCUUAACGUACAGGCCGCCGGGAAUACUGCAGAGCUAGGGAGUGGGAGAGGUAGACGGUACUCGGGAGGAAGUGGUAAAAUGCUUUGAUCUCUCGAUGACCACCUGUGGCGAAGGCGGUCUACCAGAACACGUCCGACGGUGAGGGAUGAAAGCUGGGGGAGCAAACCGGAUUAGAUACCCGGGUAGUCCCAGCUGUAAACUAUGCAAACUCAGUGAUGCAUUGGCUUGUGGCCAAUGCAGUGUUGCAGGGAAGCCGUUAAGUUUGCCGCCUGGGAAGUACGUACGCAAGUAUGAAACUUAAAGGAAUUGGCGGGGGAGCACCACAAGGGGUGAAGCCUGCGGUUC
rnacentral:rRNA from 1 species